rnacentral:rRNA from 1 species
CACCACAACAGGUGGAGCCUGCGGUUUAAUCGGACUCAACGCCGGGAAGCUCACCGGAUAAGACAGCGGAAUGAUAGCCGGGCUGAAGACUCUGCUUGACUAGCUGAGAGGAGGUGCAUGGCCGUCGUCAGUUCGUACUGUGAAGCAUCCUGUUAAGUCAGGCAACGAGCGAGACCCACGCCAACAGUUGCCAGCAUGUCCUCCGGGAUGGUGGGGACACUGUUGGGACCGCCUCUGCUAAAGAGGAGGAAGGAAUGGGCAACGGUAGGUCAGCAUGCCCCGAAUUAUCCGGGCUACACGCGGGCUACAAUGGUCAGGACAAUGGGCAUCAACACCGAAAGGUGAAGGCAAUCUCUUAAACCUGUCCUUAGUUCGGAUUGUGGGCUGCAACUCGCCCACAUGAAGCUGGAAUCUGUAGUAAUCGCGUCUCAAAAUGGCGCGGUGAAUAUGUCCCUGCUCCUU